UACAGAGGGUGCGAGCGUUGUCCGGAAUCACUGGGCGUAAAGAGCUCGUAGGCGGUUUGUCGCGUCUGCUGUGAAAUCCCGAGGCUCAACCUCGGGCCUGCAGUGGGUACGGGCAGACUGGAGUGCGGUAGGGGAGAAUGGAAUUCCUGGUGUAGCGGUGGAAUGCGCAGAUAUCAGGAGGAACACCGAUGGCGAAGGCAGUUCUCUGGGCCGUAACUGACGCUGAGGAGCGAAAGCGUGGGGAGCAAACAGG
rnacentral:rRNA from 1 species